AUUGAACGCUGGCGGCAUGCCUUACACAUGCAAGUCGAACGGCAGCACGGGGGCAACCCUGGUGGCGAGUGGCGAACGGGUGAGUAAUGCAUCGGAACGUGCCCCGUACGCGGGGGAGUAACCAGUCGAAAGACUGGCUAAUACCGCAUACGCUCCACGGAGGAAAGCAGGGGAUCGCAAGACCUUGCACUAUGGGAGCGGCCGAUGCCCGAUUAGCUAGUUGGUGAGGUAAAGGCUCACCAAGGCGACGAUCGGUAGCUGGUUUGAGAGAACGACCAGCCACACUGGGACUGAGACACGGCCCAGACUCCUACGGGAGGCAGCAGUGGGGAAGUUUUGGACAAUGGGCGCAAGCCUGAUCCAGCCAUGCCGCGUGC
rnacentral:rRNA from 1 species